rnacentral:rRNA from 1 species
UGGGGAAUUUUGGACAAUGGGCGAAAGCCUGAUCCAGCAAUGCCGCGUGUGUGAAGAAGGCCUUCGGGUUGUAAAGCACUUUUGUCCGGAAAGAAAUCCUUGGCUCUAAUACAGUCGGGGGAUGACGGUACCGGAAGAAUAAGCACCGGCUAACUACGUGCCAGCAGCCGCGGUAAUACGUAGGGUGCAAGCGUUAAUCGGAAUUACUGGGCGUAAAGCGUGCGCAGGCGGUUUGCUAAGACCGAUGUGAAAUCCCCGGGCUCAACCUGGGAACUGCAUUGGUGACUGGCAGGCUAGAGUAUGGCAGAGGGGGGUAGAAUUCCACGUGUAGCAGUGAAAUGCGUAGAGAUGUGGAGGAAUACCGAUGGCGAAGGCAGCCCCCUGGGCCAAUACUGACGCUCAUGCACGAAAGCGUGGGGAGCAAACAGGAUUAGAUACCCUGGUAGUCCACGCCCUAAACGAUGUCAACUAGUUGUGGGGAUCAUUCCUUAGUAACGUAGCUAACGCGUGAAGUUGACCGCCUGGGGAGUACGGUCGCAAGAUUAAAACUCAAAGGAAUUGACGGGGUCAUAGCUGUUUCCU